CCCUAUCUGAGAGAUCCAAGGACCUGGACACACUGCCUAGUAUCUGAAACCCGUCAGUUCAGCUCCCAUGCACCCGGCCACCUCCCGCUAGCCGGUGGCCCCUUUCCACAUGCUGACGCACUGCCCAGCCCUGUACCGUUGGCGACCAGUGCAAAGUACUAGCCCAGUCUCAGAAACUUUGACUCAGUUAUCAGGACACUGAGCACUCACAAGGUGGGUGGGGGUUGGGGGGAGGUGUUUGUCAUGGCUCAGGAGGUCAACUUUGAAGCGGGGCAUUCCCUACAGGUAGGGAUCUGCCCGGAACGCAUCCCAUCCCAAACUGCAAAACCACAAGCAUCAACAGCAGGAGCCGAGCAAAGUGCUCGGCGGAGGAAGAGGAAGGGCGAGGGAGAGAAAUGGUCGAGUACAGAAGCCUGCGUGUGGGUAAGAAAAUACCCUAACCACUCGCCCACCGGACGCAGGGCGGCUGGGACUGCGAAUCCAGCAGCAGCCACAGCGUAGCAGCGGGCGGCAGCCGCCGAGGCAGCAAUGUCAGGAGGGCACAGCUGGAGGAGGCGGCCGCCAAAGCCACUACCCCACCCCCAGGAAGAUUUGGAAAAGAGGCACUGGCUACUGGAGGAAGGGAGAAAUCACCGAGAGAGCGAAAGAUGUAACAGAAACAGGCUCUUGUUCUGUCACCCAUACUUGGAGUGCAGUGGUACAAUGAUAGCUCACUGCAGCCUCAAACUCCUGGUCUCAAGCAAUCCUCUCACCUCAGCCUCCCAGAAAAAAAAGGCCUUAUGAAGACAUUGCAAAAGGACAACUAUCUGCAAACCAGGAAGACAGACCUCACCAGAAAUCAACCCUGCUGGUGGUACCUUGAUCUUAGACUUCCAGCCUCCAGAAGUAUGAGAAA
rnacentral:lncRNA from 1 species